CCUACGGGUGGCAGCAGUGGGGAAUAUUGCACAAUGGGGGAAACCCUGAUGCAGCGACGCCGCGUGAGUGAAGAAGUAAUUCGUUAUGUAAAGCCCUAUCAGCAGGGAAGAAAAAGACGGUACCUGACCAAGAAGCCCCGGCUAACUACGUGCCAGCAGCCGCGGUAAUACGUAGGGGGCAAGCGUUAUCCGGAUUUACUGGGUGUAAAGGGAGCGUAGACGGUGCUCCAAGUCUGGAGUGAAAGGCCGCGGCUAAACCGCGGGACUGCUUUGGAAACUGGGGGGCGAGAGUGCGGGAGGGGUAAGCGGAAUUCCUAGUGUAGCGGUGAAAUGCGUAGAUAUUAGGAGGAACACCGGUGGCGAAGGCGGCUUACUGGACCGUAACUGACGUUGAGGCUCGAAGGCGUGGGGAGCAAACAGGAUUAGAUACCCCAGUAGUC
rnacentral:rRNA from 1 species